rnacentral:rRNA from 1 species
GUGGGGAAUCUUGCGCAAUGGGCGAAAGCCUGACGCAGCCAUGCCGCGUGAAUGAUGAAGGUCUUAGGAUUGUAAAAUUCUUUCACCGGGGACGAUAAUGACGGUACCCGGAGAAGAAGCUCCGGCUAACUUCGUGCCAGCAGCCGCGGUAAUACGAAGUGGGCUAGCGUUGCUCGGAAUUACUGGGCGUAAAGGGCGCGUAGGCGGACAGCUUAGUCAGAGGUGAAAGCCCAGGGCUCAACCUUGGAAUUGCCUUUGAUACUGGCUGUCUUGAGUUUGGGAGAGGGGAGUGGAACUCCGAGUGUAGAGGUGAAAUUCGUAGAUAUUCGGAAGAACACCAGUGGCGAAGGCGACUCACUGGCCCAAUACUGACGCUGAGGCGCGAAAGCGUGGGGAGCAAACAGGAUUAGAUACCCGAGUAGUCC